rnacentral:rRNA from 1 species
CGGGGUGCACCAGGCGCGAAAACUUUACAAUGCGGGAAACCGUGAUAAGGGGACACCGAGUGCCAGCAUCAUAUGCUGGCUGUCCAGGUGUGCAAAAUACACCUGUUAGCAAGGGCCGGGCAAGACCGGUGCCAGCCGCCGCGGUAACACCGGCGGCCCGAGUGGUGAUCGUGAUUAUUGGGUCUAAAGGGUCCGUAGCCGGUUUGGUCAGUCCUCCGGGAAAUCUGACAGCUUAACUGUUAGGCUUUCGGAGGAUACUGCCAGACUUGGAACCGGGAGAGGUAAGAGGUACUACAGGGGUAGGAGUGAAAUCUUGUAAUCCCUGUGGGACCACCUGUGGCGAAGGCGUCUUACCAGAACGGGUUCGACGGUGAGGGACGAAAGCUGGGGGCACGAACCGGAUUAGAUACCCGGGUAGUCCCAGCCGUAAACGAUGCUCGCUAGGUGUCAGGCAUGGCGCGACCGUGUCUGGUGCCGCAGGGAAGCCGUGAAGCGAGCCACCUGGGAAGUACGGCCGCAAGGCUGAAACUUAAAGGAAUUGGCGGGGGAGCACAAGGGCGAUUCGC